UACAGAGGUCUCAAGCGUUGUUCGGAUUCAUUGGGCGUAAAGGGUGCGUAGGCGGCGGGGCAAGUCUGAUGUGAAAUCCCGGGGCUCAACCCCGGAACUGCAUUCGAUACUGCCGUGCUUGAGGACUGGAGAGGAGACUGGAAUUUACGGUGUAGCGGUGAAAUGCGUAGAUAUCGUAAGGAAGACCAGUGGCGAAGGCGGGUCUCUGGACAGUUCCUGACGCUGAGGCACGAAGGUCAGGGGAGCAAACGGG
rnacentral:rRNA from 1 species